GACGAACGCUGGCGGCGUGCCUAAUACAUGCAAGUAGAACGCUGAAGGAGGAGCUUGCUUCUCCGGUGAGUUGCGAACGGGUGAGUAACGCGUAGGUAACCUGCCUGGUAGCGGGGGAUAACUAUUGGAAACGAUAGCUAAUACCGCAUAAGAGUAGAUGUUGCAUGACAUUUGCUUAAAAGGUGCAAUUGCAUCACUACCAGAUGGACCUGCGUUGUAUUAGCUAGUUGGUGGGGUAACGGCUCACCAAGGCGACGAUACAUAGCCGACCUGAGAGGGUGAUCGGCCACACUGGGACUGAGACACGGCCCAGACUCCUACGGGAGGCAGCAGUAGGGAAUCUUCGGCAAUGGACGGAAGUCUGACCGAGCAACGCCGCGUGAGUGAAGAAGGUUUUCGGAUCGUAAAGCUCUGUUGUAAGAGAAGAACGAGUGUGAGAGUGGAAAGUUCACACUGUGACGGUAUCUACCA
rnacentral:rRNA from 1 species